UGGAAGGUUACUCAAAUGGUAAUAGGGCUGAUUGCUAAUCAGUUAGGUCGGAGAAAUCCGGUGUAAGGGUUCGACCCCCUUACCUUCCAUC
rnacentral:tRNA from 1 species